rnacentral:rRNA from 1 species
AGAUACCAGCUGGCUGCAACUGUUUAUUAAAAACACAGCACUGUGCAAACACGAAAGUGGACGUAUACGGUGUGACGCCUGCCCGGUGCCGGAAGGUUAAUUGAUGGGGUUAUCCGUAAGGAGAAGCUCUUGAUCGAAGCCCCGGUAAACGGCGGCCGUAACUAUAACGGUCCUAAGGUAGCGAAAUUCCUUGUCGGGUAAGUUCCGACCUGCACGAAUGGCGUAAUGAUGGCCAGGCUGUCUCCACCCGAGACUCAGUGAAAUUGAACUCGCUGUGAAGAUGCAGUGUACCCGCGGCAAGACGGAAAGACCCCGUGAACCUUUACUAUAGCUUGACACUGAACACUGGUCCUUGAUGUGUAGGAUAGGUGGGAGGCUUUGAAGUGUGGACGCCAGUCUGCAUGGAGCCAUCCUUGAAAUACCACCCUUUAAUGGCUGGUGUUCUAACGUGGACCCGUUACCCGGGUUGCGGACAGUGUCUGGUGGGUAGUUUGACUGGGGCGGUCUCCUCCUAAAGAGUAACGGAGGAGCACGAAGGUUAGCUAAUCCUGGUCGGACAUCAGGAGGUUAGUGCAAAGGCAUAAGCUAGCUUGACUGCGAGAGUGACGGCUCGAGCAGGUGCGAAAGCAGGUCUUAGUGAUCCGGUGGUUCUGAAUGGAAGGGCCAUCGCUCAACGGAUAAAAGGUACUCCGGGGAUAACAGGCUGAUACCGCCCAAGAGUUCAUAUCGACGGCGGUGUUUGGCACCUCGAUGUCGGCUCAUCACAUCCUGGGGCUGAAGUAGGUCCCAAGGGUAUGGCUGUUCGCCAUUUAAAGUGGUACGCGAGCUGGGUUUAGAACGUCGUGAGACAGUUCGGUCCCUAUCUGCCGUGGGCGCUGGAGAAUUGAGGGGGGCUGCUCCUAGUACGAGAGGACCGGAGUGGACGCAUCACUGGUGUUCGGGUUGUCAUGCCAAUGGCAUUGCCCGGUAGCUAAAUGCGGAAGAGAUAAGUGCUGAAAGCAUCUAAGCACGAAACUUGCCCCG